AGUGAACGCUGGCGGUAGGCCUAACACAUGCAAGUCGAACGGCAGCACAGUAAGAGCUUGCUCUUACGGGUGGCGAGUGGCGGACGGGUGAGGAAUACAUCGGAAUCUACUUUUUCGUGGGGGAUAACGUAGGGAAACUUACGCUAAUACCGCAUACGACCUACGGGUGAAAGCAGGGGAUCUUCGGACCUUGCGCGAUUGAAUGAGCCGAUGUCGGAUUGGCUAGUUGGCGGGGUAAAGGCCCACCAAGGCGACGAUCCGUAGCUGGUCUGAGAGGAUGGUAAGCCACACUGGAACUGAGACACGGUCCAGACUCCUAAGGGAGGCAGCAGUGGGGAAUAUUGGACAAUGGGCGCAAGCCUGAUCCAGCCAUACCGCGUGGGUGAAGAAGGCCUUCGGGUUGUAAAGCCCUUUUGUUGGGAAAGAAAAGCAGCAGGUUAAUACCCCGCUGUUCUGACGGUACCCAAAGAAUAAGCACCGGCUAACUUCGUG
rnacentral:rRNA from 1 species